UAUGAACGCUGGCGGCGUGCCUAAUACAUGCAAGUCGAACGCGAGCACUUGUGCUCGAGUGGCGAACGGGUGAGUAAUACAUAAGUAACCUGCCCUAGACAGGGGGAUAACUAUCGGAAACGAUAGCUAAUACCGCAUAAUAGUGUUUAACACAUGUUAGAGACUUGAAAGAUGCAAUUGCAUCACUAGUAGAUGGACCUGCGUUGUAUUAGCUAGUUGGUGGGGUAACGGCCUACCAAGGCGACGAUACAUAGCCGACCUGAGAGGGUGAUCGGCCACACUGGGACUGAGACACGGCCCAG
rnacentral:rRNA from 1 species